GUCCAGGUCCUGCGCAACAGAGACCCAUGAAUUCUGUCAGGUCCGGAAGGAAGCAGCAGUAAGUGGUUAUCUCCGUGUGCCGCGGGGAAGCCUGGACCGA
rnacentral:SRP_RNA from 1 species